AUUGAACGCUGGCGGCAGGCUUAACACAUGCAAGUCGAACGAUGAAGGUAUAGCUUGCUAUAUCGGAUUAGUGGCGGACGGGUGAGUAACACUUAGGAAUCUACCUUUUAGCGGGGGAUAGCUCGGGGAAACUCGAAUUAAUACCGCAUAAUUUCUACGGAAUAAAGAGGGCUUUUAGCUCUCACUAGAAGAUGAGCCUAAGUAAGAUUAGCUAGUUGGUGGGGUAAAAGCCUACCAAGGCGACGAUCUUUAGCUGGCCUGAGAGGAUGAUCAGCCACACUGGGACUGAGACACGGCCCAGACUCCUACGGGAGGCAGCAGUGGGGAAUAUUGGACAAUGGGGGCAACCCUGAUCCAGCCAUGCCGCGUGUGUGAAGAAGGCCUUUUGGUUGUAAAGCACUUUAAGCAGUGAAGAAGACCUAUUGGUUAAUACCCAAUAGCGAUGACAUUAACUGCAGAAUAAGCACCGGCUAACUCUGUGCCAGCAGCCGCGGUAAUACAGAGGGUGCAAGCGUUAAUCGGAAUUACUGGGCGUAAAGCGAGCGUAGGUGGUUAAAUAAGUCAGAUGUGAAAGCCCUGGGCUCAACCUAGGAACGGCAUCUGAAACUAUUUAACUAGAGUAGGUGAGAGGGAAGUAGAAUUUCAGGUGUAGCGGUGAAAUGCGUAGAGAUCUGAAGGAAUACCGAUGGCGAAGGCAGCUUCCUGGCAUCAUACUGACACUGAGGCUCGAAAGCGUGGGUAGCAAACAGG
rnacentral:rRNA from 1 species